rnacentral:tRNA from 1 species
GCACCCUUAGCUCAGCUGGAUAGAGUGGCAGCCUCCGAAGCUGCAGGCCAGAGGUUCGAAUCCUCUAGGGUGCGCCA